GGUACUGUCUAUCUUCCAUGUUCAGGAUACCUGGUAUACUUGCCCCAAGAGAUUAACCAUGAGGAGAAGCCUCCAGACUGGCCCUGAAGCAAGAGUAAAUCUGGUAAGACGGAAGAAAGAAGCCACCGAGAGACAGCAGUUGAAAGAGGAGGAAUCCUAAGUCCUGUGGAUUCUGACUGACAGACCUGCGUUGCCCGGCUUGCUCUUCAUUGCUGCUUUGAACUCAGACUGAGUAAAGUAUUCUGCAAAGGCACCAAGGAUUUCUUCAGGCCAAGAUGUCAUCUCUCACCUGCUACUAAAGCACCUUUGCAAUGACAUCUUCUGCGAUCUUGUGAUCUUUCAGAUGUACAGAGGUAGAGUCCAGAGGUACUGCCUAGCCUGGACGGAGCCACUCAGCCACCCUGGGGAGUCCUGUUGGCCACCAACUCCCUUUGGGAGAACUCCUUCUACAACCACAGUCAGCCCAGGACCAUAGGCAGACUGAGCAAGACUCAAAGGGCUUUUCCACUCCUGUGCACCAGGGGGCACCGGGAAGAGGCUCAGGCGGGGAUAUCUCAGACUUCUUUUCAGCACUCAGAGUGCCGGGACCUGGCUGGGAUUACACAGUGGGUUCUGCGGUGCGCUCAGUCCCUAGCUGCCUGGCAACUUCCGCUGCUUUCAAGGUCUAAUUUAGGAAUCUACGGAAAUGAGCAGAACACUGAGAGAGACACACCAGUGCAUUACAAAGGGACUCGCGGUCCACAGCCCACCGAAGCUGUUCCGAGCAGGGAUGCAGGGGGGAAAUGCUCCGACAGGAUGUGUAUAGUUUAGGGUACAGAGGGGUCUCUCCUGGCAAGAGAGACCAAACCUUAUAAUUAAGUAUCUCCGUUUCCUUUCAGAUAUCAACAGCAACAACAACCACGUUCUCCGCACUGCCUAAACAGGACAAAUCCCGGGUUAAGCAGUUUCUGGUGGUCUUCACACACACACACACACACACACACACACACACACACACACAGAGAGAGAGAGAGAGAGAGAGAGAGAGAGAGAGAGAGAGAGAGAGAGAAUCUUCCUGAAAGCAGGCCUCUCCAGCCUCCCAGCACCUCCCCCUCCCCCUUGUGCCCUCCCCUAAUCCCCCCUCCCCAUUUGCAAUUAGGGGUAAUCUUUUGUUGCCUGGAAAGUGUAAAAAUCACCAGCUUUUCUUUUUGCAUGCAUAAUAUCCAUUUCCCCUCCAAGUGCGCUAUUUGGUUAGGGAAUUACAUCUAUUUACAAGAGUAGAUGUUGCACAAAGGUUGUGUUUAUGUGGAAAAUUAUAUCGGUGACACGGGCUGAUUGGCAUGUGGAGGCUGGGAGAGCAAGCCGAAGAGGCCUCCUCAUCAGCUUGGAAUAACAAAAUGAUUGUAUUUUCAGCAAAGCUAAUUGAUCACACACCUCGCUGGGCUAUCUGUUUACUCAAAGGCCAUCCAGGCCUUGGGAAGGUGGAAAGGAGAGAGCAGCGGGCAGUGGUCACUACCAGGCGGGGCCAGCCAAGGCUCUAGGGGUAUGUAGCAGAGAUAGGAGGUAGAAUGAGUGGCCAGAACGAACCUCUGGGUCCUUCAGUUGUGCAGAGAUGGGCAAUUCAGUGUUCCCUGAAAAACUAGGCCCAGACCCAACACUAGAAAUUUUGUCCUUUAAAAAAAAAAUUUCAUGUGGACAUCAAGGCUUCGGGGAAGGGAAGGGCAGACCAGAGCAGGACCCGGAGCCACUGCAGAGAGAAGAUACAUUCGUUCCCUUCCCCUUGUCCAUUUGAGAAACUAACCCCAUUUCAAGCCAAUGCUGAGCAGACUGGUGGAACAGAGGCUCUGGAACCCUGGCUCCAUGUGUAUGUCCUGACUCUCAUCCCAGUACACAUGGCAGAGUUAGGGAUCAGAUAUAGUGGGGAUCAGAUAUAGUGGGGUGCCACAGAUAGAGUACAACCAGCUUCCAAAUGUGCCCUGCAGAACAAAACCCCUAUCCCACCACCACAGAGGCAGGGACUAGCCUCAGGUCUGUGAUCUGCUUCCCUAAGCUGACUUAUGAAGAUAUGCUGAGACUUCCCCAAACUGACCAGUCAGGCUAGGAGCCCUAGGAGCCCCAGAGCCCAAGCCAUCUACAAAAGCAAGCAGAGUUCUAUUUCCUCCCUAGUGAAAACUCCAGUUGUGGGGGCAGAAAACAAAGCAAUCGAAUAAGCAAGCACUUGGGUGAAAAUGAGCAGUGACAGUAAAAAUAACUGUUUGGGGACUAGUGUGGGGGCAGAUUCACUGACCAGCACUUUGCAAAUGUGAAGGUCAUUUAGAAGCCACUGAUCAGAAACAUCAUCACCACCUGCCCACCCUACGAUGCGCUCAUUUGGCUGUCUUGCAAAUGCCCCAGUGGAUCCUAUGACUAGUUACUCUUUUACAGGGAUGUGCAAAGCACAGCUCCCAGCUUGUCGGGUUCUAACUCCGGUUUGGAAUCUUUCCAUUGCUGAUCAAUAUUAGAUCUAGUAACUAUUUCCUACAGAAAAAAAAAA
rnacentral:lncRNA from 1 species